rnacentral:rRNA from 1 species
CGGGACGGGUGAGUAAUGUCUGGGAAACUGCCUGAUGGAGGAGGAUAACUACUGGAAACGGUAGCUAAUACCGCAUAACGUCGCAAGACCAAAGAGGGGGACCUUAGGGCCUCUUGCCAUCGGAUGUGCCCAGAUGGGAUUAGCUUGUUGGUGGGGUAACGGCUCACCAAGGCGACGAUCCCUAGCUGGUCUGAGAGGAUGACCAGCCACACUGGAACUGAGACACGGUCCAG